rnacentral:rRNA from 1 species
AAAACUUCGGUGGUCUAGGACGAGCCCGCGUCCUAUCAGGUUGUUGGUGAGGUAAAUGCUCACCAAGCCUAUGACGGGUAGCUGGUUUGAGAGGACGGACAGCCAGACUGGGACUGUGACACGGCCCAGACUCCUACGGGAGGCAGCAAUUAGGAAUCGUGCGCAAUGGACGGAAGUCUGACGCCGCGACGCCGCGUGGAGGAUGAAUGCCUACGGGUUGUAAACUCCUUUUAUGAGGGAACAAGUUUCUGAGUGUACCUCAUGAAUAAGCACCUGCUAACUACGUGCCAGAAGCAUCGGUAAUACGUAGGGUGCGAGCGUUAUCCGGAAUUAUUGGGCGUAAAGAGACGCGUAGGCGACUCGGUAAGUCUGAUGUUAAAUCUCAAUGCUCAACAUUGAGACUGCAUUAGAUACUGUCGUGAUUGAGUAAAGUAGAGGAGAGGGGAAUUCCUGGUGGAGCGGUGCAAUGCGUUGAUAUCAGGAGGAACACCAAGGGCGAAGGCAUCUCUCUGGACUUUUACUGACGCUGAGGCUCGAAAGUGUGGGUAGCAAAGCGGAUUAGAUACCCGUGUAGUCCACACUGUAAACUAUCCCUAUUAGACGU